AGGCGGAAUAUAGUUUAACCAAAACUCUAAGCUGUGGAUUUAGAAAUAAGAGCAAA
rnacentral:tRNA from 1 species